UNUGACUUGAGUGCAGAAGGGGAGAGUGGAAUUCCAUGUGUAGCGGUGAAAUGCGUAGAUAUAUGGAGGAACACCAGUGGCGAAAGCGGCUCUCUGGUCUGUCACUGACGCUGAGGCUCGAAAGCGUGGGUAGCGAACAGGAUUAGAUACCCUGGUAGUNCACGCCGUAAACGAUGAGUGCUAGGUGUUAGGCCCUUUCCGGGGCUUAGUGCCGGAGCUAACGCAAUAAGCACUCCGCCUGGGGAGUACGACCGCAAGGUUGAAACUCAAAGGAAUUGACGGGGGCCCGCACAAGCGGUGGAGCAUGUGGUUUAAUUCGAAGCAACGCGAAGAACCUUACCAGGUCUUGACAUCCCGAUGCUAUUCUUAGAGAUAGGAAGUUACUUCGGUACAUCGGAGACAGGUGGUGCAUGGUUGUCGUCAGCUCGUGUCGUGAGAUGUUGGGUUAAGUCCCGCAACGAGCGCAACCCUUAUUGUUAGUUGCCAUCAUUAAGUUGGGCACUCUAGCGAGACUGCCGGUAAUAAACCGGAGGAAGGUGGGGAUGACGUCAAAUCGUCAUGCCCCUUAUGACCUGGGCUACACACGUGCUACAAUGGUCGGUACAACGAGUUGCGAGCCGGUGACGGCAAGCUAAUCUCUGAAAGCCGAUCUCAGUUCGGAUUGGAGGCUGCAACUCGCCUCCAUGAAGUCGGAAUCGCUAGUAAUCGCGGAUCAGCACGCCGCGGUGAAUACGUUCCCGGGCCUUGUACACACCGCCCGUCACACCACGAGAGUUUGUAACACCCGAAGUCGGUGAGGUAACCUUUUAGGGNCC
rnacentral:rRNA from 1 species